rnacentral:tRNA from 1 species
CGCGGGAUGGAGCAGCUAGGCAGCUCGUCAGGCUCAUAACCUGAAGGCCGUGGGUUCGAAUCCCACUCCCGCAA